AGCGAACGCUGGCGGCAGGCUUAACACAUGCAAGUCGAGCGGGCAUCUUCGGGUGUCAGCGGCGGACGGGUGAGUAACGCGUGGGAACGUGCCUUCUGGUUCGGAAUAACUCAGGGAAACUUGAGCUAAUACCGGAUACGCCCUUUUGGGGAAAGGUUUACUGCCGGAAGAUCGGCCCGCGUCUGAUUAGCUAGUUGGUGGGGUAACGGCCUACCAAGGCGACGAUCAGUAGCUGGUCUGAGAGGAUGAUCAGCCACACUGGGACUGAGACACGGCCCAGACUCCUACGGGAGGCAGCAGUGGGGAAUAUUGGACAAUGGGGGCAACCCUGAUCCAGCCAUGCCGCGUGAGUGAUGAAGGCCUUAGGGUUGUAAAGCUCUUUUAUCCGGGACGAUAAUGACGGUACCGGAGGAAUAAGCCCCGGCUAACUUCGUGCCAGCCGCCGCGGUAA
rnacentral:rRNA from 1 species